CACGGCUGGGACCCGGACCCCCUGACGAGGCUCGGAGGAGGGGUGCGGCCCCGCGAGCCCGGGGAGCGGAACCAGACGACGUCCGUCCCGGUCUUGCCACCUGAGGGUGGGGGGCUUCUGGCAAGUCACUCAGCCUCGACACCCAUGCAGACGUGUGUGGACCAGGUCACAACCCAAGGAUGUUUCUCCAAGGCUUCUGAGGUGCGAGCUCCAAAAGCGGACAAGCUCAAGUUUCUGGCGUGUCUGGAUGAGCUGCUUUCUCCUCCCGUUGGGUCCAGGGCCGCUUUCAAGUUUCAAGUUUCCAACUAGGCGGUCACUUCCUGCUGCCAACGAUGCCGGACUCCUGCCUGGGUCACUCUGGUCAAGCGGCUAUUGCAGUUUUAUUCCUAAUUCUACCAGAAGAUGCCCUGCAGUGAUGAAUUUCUAGAAGAUGCAACUCUCACGAAGGCCUUCUCAAGUGGGAAUGUCCCUGCUCACCUGCCUACUCCUGAGCACCUCCUGAAGGAGGGCAGGAAGCGGCUGUGGAGGGGUGGAGAAUACAGACGGCAGGUAUUUGCGCCUUCGGAGAAAUGAGACUGUUAAUCCCUCCAUUGCUCUACGACCUUUGCCACCAUGAUGUUUCCCGUGUCCUUCCCUCUGGGUUUCGCCCCUAACUAUAACUAAACCUGCCUCGAGGACAGCCAGAGCUAAGGGUACACUCAGGGAGUCCACCCAACUCUGGUAAGCAUAAACUUGGUAUAAAAAAGGAAGGCAGGUACCGGGAUAAACAUCUGGUGAACGGAUCAUCUUUCAAGAGCUGAAUUUGAUUAAGUGCUUCCUUCACAGCUAUACUUACAAGCAAGCAUUUGCGACUUUGAAACCUAAGCCCCUGCAGCAUCCUAUUUCCCAGAUUAGAAAAAACACACAGGACAAGAACCCUUACAAGCCUCUUGUCUCAAAUUCUACACACGUACACACACACAUACACACACGUACACACGUGCUCACACUGCCCUUGGCCUGAGAAUCAAGAUAGAAGUAUAAUGACUUGGUGUUGUUUUUUUUAUUUUAAAGAUUUUAUUUAUUUAUUCAUGAGAAUACACAGAAAGGAGAGAGAGAGUGAGAGAGAGGCAGAAACACAGGCUGAAGAAGAAGCAGGCUCCAUGCAGGGAGCCUGACAUGGGACUUGAUCCCAGGUCUCCAGGAUCAUGCCCUGGGCUGAAGGCAGCGCUAAACCGCUGAGCCACCCGGGCUGCCCAUGACUUGGAGUUCUAAUUCAAAUUACUCUCUGUUGGCAAGACUCAACAUCUAAGUGCUCAGCUCUUACUUUUCAGGAUCCAAAUUUGGAACACUAACAGUAAAUAUGUGUUGUCAACUGAUUAUCUGCUUUCUUUUCUCCAAACAGAGCAUCUUUUAUGCUCCCUUGGUUAGCUGAAGACCCAUUCACUCCAAGCAUACUUGUUGCUCAUCUGCACUCCUGGACCGGCUCCCAGGGUGGAUGCUGACGAGUGCCAACCUCUUGAAGGAACACGUAAUUAUCCAUGGAGUGAAACUUGUGCCCCCUUUCUUUCUGCUACUUUUUUUUUCCCAGUGAACCUGCUGGCAAAAAUUGGAGCCCUAAGAACAUACCUACUGGCAUUUCAAGCAGCUGUGAUUAUAAAAGGAAUGUUAAGUGUACAGGGAGCUGAAUCGAAAGCAGUAAACAUUAGCAGGCAGGCCAGCAUACUAAAUAAGCCCUCAUCUGACACAUCAGGGCGCCUGGGGCCCAGCUCUGAAAUGGCACAGGCGUUCCAGCUAAAGACAGCUCAAGACUAACCAGGCGUCUUACCUUCACUGUGUUGGAUGCAGAAUAAAUCAGGACAGAGACAACAGAAUGGAAUUUCCCUCCUUGAGCUAUACUAUUCUGCGUGCCACCUCAGACUUACCGUAGAAAGGAACAAACACCACUCUUCACUAAAUCUACUCUUCAAUGUAUCUAAAUUUUAAGUCUAGGAUCCUGAAAGACACAAACAGCUUCAAAGAUGUGAAAACAGCAUGUACAUCCAAUGGGUCCCUGGAACUGUGCCCUGAGAGCCAGGUGUUCUUCACUGUACCCCAUGAUCCAAACAGAUUUCUGAUGAGGUCAGAAUAGGCGGUGUGAAUUUGUAAUUAACUACAUUACAGAGAUAAAAUGAGACUGCCCCGCCUCUCUCCUCCAGCAAACGAUAGGUGGUGAGGUCCUGAGGAUACAUAAUGUAAAAGGAAGCAUAUGUGUGGAAGCAUAUCUGCCACAAGUUAGAAAUGUUAGAGCAGCAAUGAGAUACAAAUAGAACAGGACGGCUCCCUCAGCAGUUUCAGGCGGCUAAGAAGUAAGCAUACGUCACACUUGGUGCUGUCCAGGAGAGCAAAGCACACAGCAGAUGCCUGAAGAAGACUGAGUUAGAUUCAGGAGGUAAAUUCACAUUAUCAGAGACCCUCAAUAAUCUGAGAGAAACUGGAUUUCUUGGAAAAACUAAACUCAGCCCCACAAGGUUUGGAGAAAACUCUAAAAGGUACAUGAAACUCUGGGGGGACAGAACAGAGGUCAGCUUGAUCCUCGGCCUGCCCAACACAUUUGGGAAAUCUCUCUGUAAGAGCUUGAAGAGCUCUAGGCCUUACUUGCAUGAAGGACUCCAGCCUCUGACUAUCAUCGUGAUGGAGUUUCCUUUCUACCUCCUCACACAGAAGCUGUCCAUUCCCUACUGCAGGGUCUCCUGAAGUGCACACCUUUGAUGGUUACAGGGCAUUCUUCCCCAUACAGAAUCCAUGUCUGGCCCUCACUGCUCCCCUUCCUGCCUUACACGGACCAUUGCAGAAUAAGUAGCCCUAUCACCAUCUAAAAGAAUUCCCUGGGCAACCCUGGUGGCCCAGCGGUUUGGCACUGCCUUUGACCCAGGGUGUGAUCCUGGAGACCCAGGAUCGAGUCCUGCGUCGGGCUCCCUGCAUGCAGCCUGCUUCUCUCCCUCUGCCUGUGUCUCUGCCUCUCUCUGUGUCUGUCAUGAAUAAAUAAAUAAAAUCUUUAAAAAUAAAAUAAAAGAAUUCCCAUGAUUAAAUUUCAUGUCUGAAAUCUGGUCCAUUAUGUCGGUCAGUCUGGAGCUUGGAGAACUUCGUGCUGUCACCCAGGCAUUCAUGAUUCCUACUAGUUUUCUGUCAUUUACGUGAAGAAUCCAAGUCAAGUUUUCUUGGGACCCAAGAAUGUCCAACACUACCAAGCCCAUCCUGCUCCUUCUGUCUGCCACAGCCCCACAGCAGAUGACAUGCAUGGCAGUGUCCAAUAAUGGCACAGUAAGACCUGGUAGAGACUAAGGCUUGGGUCUGAGCAUGAAGCGGACUCUUUCCACACCUUAAUGCCAAAAUCUA